CGAAAUGCGAUAAGUAAUGCGAAUUGCAGAAUCCGUGAGUCAUCGAAUCUUUGAACGCACAUUGCGCCCUCUGGUAACCCGGAGGGCAUGCCUGUUCGAGCGUCAUUAUCACCCCUCAAGCCCCCGGCUUGGUGUUGGACUAUUGGGUACAGAUUGUCACCCGGUCCCAAAGAUAAUGGCCGCCCCUUGGAGGGAACCGGUACGAGGAGCUUUUUUUACAAGCAUGUACCAGGGACGACUCCGGGGGGUCUGGUUAGAUACUUUUUUUUAAAUUUUUCUUUAAGUGUUGACCUCGGAUCAGGUAGGAAUACCCGCUGAACUUAAGC
rnacentral:misc_RNA from 1 species